GCUGAUGCGUUGUUGGGUAGGGGAGCGUUCUGUAAGCCUGCGAAGGUGACCUGUGAGGGUUGCUGGAGGUAUCAGAAGUGCGAAUGCUGACAUAAGUAACGAUAAAGCGGGUGAAAAGCCCGCUCGCCGGAAGACCAAGGGUUCCUGUCCAACGUUAAUCGGGGCAGGGUGAGUCGACCCCUAAGGCGAGGCCGAAAGGCGUAGUCGAUGGGAAACGGGUUAAUAUUCCCGUACUUGGUGUUACUGCGAAGGGGGGACGGAGAAGGCUAUGUUGGCCGGGCGACGGUUGUCCCGGUUUAAGCGUGUAGGUGUGUGUUCCAGGUAAAUCCGGUUCACUUUAACACUGAGGCGUGACGACGAGGCACUACGGUGCUGAAGCAACAAAUGCCCUGCUUCCAGGAAAAGCCUCUAAGCAUCAGGUAACACGAAAUCGUACCCCAAACCGACACAGGUGGUCAGGUAGAGAAUACCAAGGCGCUUGAGAGAACUCGGGUGAAGGAACUAGGCAAAAUGGUGCCGUAACUUCGGGAGAAGGCACGCUGACACGUAGGUGAAGUGAUUUACUCAUGGAGCUGAAGUCAGUCGAAGAUACCAGCUGGCUGCAACUGUUUAUUAAAAACACAGCACUGUGCAAACACGAAAGUGGACGUAUACGGUGUGACGCCUGCCCGGUGCCGGAA
rnacentral:rRNA from 1 species